rnacentral:lncRNA from 1 species
GGUAUCUAGACUAGAAAUAGCUAGGAUUAGAGAGAAAUAACAAGAAUAGCAAGGGCUUCUUGGAACUAGACGAAGGUAGAUGAUGAGUUUAGAGUUGAGGUUCGUAUUUGAUGCCUCCUCCCAUGCUUCCCUCUAUCUAGCUUCACAUUUAUAUAACUCGAGGCCAUUUAGUAGCCCAAUCCACAAUAGGCCAAUUUUACUAAACAUGAUUGCAAAUAUCUCCUUAUUGAUUCUGAUCCAAACAUUCCUCGUAGAGCUACCAGAUAUGUUGUAAAUGUGUAACAUUAUUUUCUAAUAUGGCUUUCAUGGGAAUUAGCGAGUCAUCCACACAUAGAAGGUGAG